rnacentral:tRNA from 1 species
GGAAGGAUGGUCCAGUGGAUAGGGUGCUAGCCUUGAACUCUGGAGAACAAGGGUCAAUUCCCUGCUCUGCCA